ensembl:lncRNA
UUCUGAUGUGGCAAAUUUUACAACCAACCCACAAAAUGUGUUCUCCUGCCCCGCUUACUGCGAAGCCGCAGCGGCGUGGCUAGGUGACCUCUCCAUGACAACAUGGUGGCAAGCCGCAGCGGUGUGGCUAGGUGACCCCUCCAUGACAACAUGGUGGCCUAUUAAACAUGAGAUAUGUCUCUCCUUAGUGAAAACCAGAACACUAAAAUGACUGGCAGGCUUAUUCCUCCGCGCUGCCAAGUCCCCCAAUCAAAGCCCAAUUCUCCAAUUAACAUGCCAAUCUAACAAGGUCAGUCCAAAACGGUCUUUCAUGCAUGGACCAUCUUUUUUCUUCCACCAGCUUUCUAGUUCAGUCACCUAAGAGUUCAGGCAGACCCCUGUUACACACACGCUACACACACACACACACACACACCCCUGUUAUCUUCAACUUCCCAGAGCAAGGCUCCGGGGAAGAGUUCGAAAUUUAGCGUGACCACAUUUUGAGUCCAUUUCUGCACAUUUCUUCCCAUAAAAUGUAAUUAUGCCGCUGAAAUACAAAUGAAGAAUGGAGCCAUUUAAACGGUGGCAUUACAUCUGGGCUGGAAUUCUGUGCUAGUGACACACCAGCACAUGAGAUGCGACAGGGACACACAAGUCAUUGUCAAAGUUGCUGAAGGGACAAGCGAUGAUGUUCUGUGGAGAAUGUAUAGGUUGACUAAAAGGUCAGCACAUUUUUGAUGUGUCAGUGUCAAAAUAGUUGAAGAUUACUGUUAUGUAGGACUAGCUUUGCAUUCCAAAUUGGGAAAAAAAAUCUACUUUGCAGUAAGUUAUCAGAAUCUGAGCUGUGUACCGUCGCCCUCAACAAGUAAUUGACCACGAGAGGGCGUUAUGCAUAUGUGAAGAGUGUGACGCCCGUGCUCUCCAUUCUGUUGAUCCCGUUUUCCUCGUGCGGUUCCCGCUCCGCCGCCAGAUGUCGCGCGGCGCCGUCCUGGGGGGCGGGGCCUGUCCCGGGAACGCGUUGCUUCCCAUUCCAAGCGCAGAGACACAACAUGGCGGAAUAGGAGAGGCGGCCGAAGCGCCCGGAUACAGCGAGUAAAAGCGCAGGAGACUCGCUAAAUGUGCCCCGUUGGAAAGCAAGAAUUUCGUCUGUCUGUCAGGGAGAGCCCAGAACAUUUUCGGGAUUUUUGGGCUUCUCUUUGACAUGUAAUUUGGGGGCCAUAAGCCAACGAUCUAUCACCCCUCUCCAAAUUGGCCGUCUGCACGGGAUCAUUCCAGUUACCCAGGCCCCCCACCCCGCACACACUCUCGGUUCUUGGGGUGUGUAGAUAGGGGCAGGGGAAGAGAGCGUGGAGAAAGGGAGGAAAAAUAAUUGCACCUUUCUGAAAUAUAAGGCUACACGUUUUGAGAGGAGAGUCGCGGGACGCUGGGCACAUGAGUGACGGAUGCUAGCUUGGUCCUCUCAGGGCAGAAUGGGCGUGUCCCCGCUGCUCCUGCUCUGCAGUGUGGCCCUCUGGGCCCUCAGCACAGCCCAGACCACCCCCCCUCCCACAGGUCCACUCCCCAAUCUCACCUCCACAGAGGCCCUCCCCCCACCCCCGCCCCC